GAUGAAUGUGCUGCAAAUCCUCACGACAAAACCACGCAAUAAAAACCAAGGGAAACAGCACCGUCUACCGAUUAUUGCCACUAACAGCCCGUAAGCGUGUAAAUGGAGACAAGGACAGACCACCAUGAUGUAGUGCCUCCAAAUCUACAGGAUGAAUUGGUGCGUGUAGAUACUCACAUCCCCACUCCUGGGCCCUCUCUGAUGCCCAUGGACAUUUUCAGUGUAAGGAUUGUGUUGCCUGUUGUCAUUAUUUAAAAUGCAAAUCAUGUAGACAUGUAAAAUUUACAAAAUUAAACAAUUGAUCACAUAUAAAACAACACAUGUGAUAUACAUAAUUAUGUGUUCUUGCCCUUUAUUGUUAUACGUGCAUUGCGGACUAGAAUUGUUAAGCAUAUGAGUGCUAUCAGGAGGCAAGAUCACACCUCCAGUUUUUCGUCAUUUGGAGUCUGCAAAACAAUCUUUUUCCGAUUUCAAAUUCCUGGGCAUUGAGAGGGUUCUCUAUAGCAGAGGUGGUAACCGUGAUAGAAAAUUGUCACAUAGAGAGGCUUUUAUUUUUGUAAAUGGAAAUUGUUGGCAUGACAAUUAUCCCUCAUUGAUUAAGAUCAACUGUCAACAAUUUGCAAUUGUGCCUAUAUAAAUGAUGUUGCUUUUUUGCCCCAUAAGCACUUAAGAAAGCAUGGGCUGAAAUGUGUGCUUCUUUUUCUGUUUUUAAUACUUUCUGCAAAAUAAAAAUAUUUUUGAUAGACCUUUUUUAGUGAAAACAGACCAUGUUUGUAUCAAGCAGAUAUAUUUUAAUAAGCUCAUUCUGUACGGUGUAAUAUAAAACUCUUCUCAUGGUCUUGAAUAAGUGUAAAACAUUAAUAUACCUUCAUCAACCGUUGAUUAAUAGCCCUAAAAGUGCAGAUUAAAAUAAA